AGGGAGAAGGGAAAUGAGGGUCUAGCUUUUUUGUUCUAGGCUUACUGGGCAAAGAAAAAAAGUAACAAGACUGGGUGACUAUGGAUAUUUAAACCAGAGUCCCACGAGGGCUCUGUAUGUGCACGAGGUGAUCCUGGUGAAAUUUUGGCAGCAUAUGUGCCUCUGUGAUAGAAGUUUGAAGCUGUCUUGUGAUGCAGGGCUCUUGUGAUUCAGAUAGAGCCAGUUACAGAUGGUUCUCAACAGCCCAAUGCAGGGCACAACCAAUCCUCUGAGCAGGGCUGUUCUUAGAUUAACAAACACCACACUUGCCUCUGUAUUGACUCCUGAGGUCAGUAUACAGAACAUCAUCUCUACUAAGCAGAGCUGAACACAAAAAUAACAUACUCUGAUCACCAGUUCAUUGGAAGAACAAUGAGGAGGAAUAGAGGUUUUCCUCUAUGCAUCUGAAAAAGAGAAGAAGCGAACGUGCUGCAAGGGAAAACAGGCCUCUUGGUCAAGGAGCAGUAUACCAGAGAGACAAAAGAAAAGUACUGAAGUGGAACAUCACUUGGCUCUGGAAAGUGCGGACUAAUUCUACUGCUAAUGAGAUGACUGUACAAAUGUUUCAGAAUCCACUAUCCAAAAAAAGUACAGUAGGAAGCAAUACUAUAAGCCACAUUGUUGCAUUUCUCCACCAUAAAGGAACAUAAAUAUGCCCCCAAAUGAAGAAUAAGAUUCUGGAAAAAAAGAUCCACCCAGAGUCCGCAUUUUUAAAGAAAAAAGUGUGCAUCAUCUUCCAGCCCCUGUGAGUCGAAGAAAAAGGUACAUGAGCAAAAAAGAGCCAUGCAAGAUAUCUGCUGCUGCCUACAGGUUAUCUAAAUGAACGCUUCCACAAAGUAUGACUGUCACUGUCCCCCAUGUCUAAAUCUUUUAAAACAAAUAAGAUCUAAGUUACAUAAGUAAAUGAUCAGAUGUCACUAAGUAAUGCUAUAUUUUUUUAGAUUGACUUUUUGUCUUUGAGAGUAAAACAUAGAAGCAUUAUAUGCACCUCCAGAUGUUGCAGUGCUGGAGAGAGGAUAUUCAUUUAUUUAUCAAACAUAAUCUGUGAGAAUAUGUGUUUUAAGUUCUCAAAUGUAUAACAUUUUCUGAAUCCAUGUUUUUCAUAGCAUUCACUGUAAUAAUUAGCUAAGAAAUAUUUGAAAAGUAAUUUUUUUCACCUCUCAAUAAACAGAAGAUAUUCACAGAGUGUUUUCUUCAAGAUGGACUGACAAAAAUAAGAAUUUUUCAUGUUCUAAUUAUUUAGUUGUUGAUGAAUGGCAUAUUCAUGGAAAUUUCCUUACUGACUGUGGUAUCAGAUCUACAGAUCUUGAUCCAGGAACUCAUUCAAAUACUUCUACUAAUCUAGUUUUCCAAUGAGAAAUACCUUUACUGGUUAUAUUUAAACUUUGGGAAAAGAAGGUUACAAUCAAGGAAGGGAAUAACUAUCAUGUUAUCAUGUUUCUAAUUUAACAGAAAUAAUGUUUGGUUGUGUAGGGAGAACUGUACUAGAGAUGCUAGACUAGCUGCUAAAGAGUGUAUGGGAAAAUGAGGGAAAUCAUAGUUGUUGCUAUCACAAAUUGUCAGUUGUGUGGUGAAUAAACACUAGUUUCAUAUUCAUGUGCGAUGGACUAUGCAGCAGACACUGUCCCUGUGGUAACAAAUGCUAGAAAAAGGUUUUCCAUGUAAGUCCAUUGAAUCACAGUUUCUUGAUUCCAGUCUUCUAACAUAUAUAACACGUGCCACAUCAUUGAGUGCAUCAUUCACUUCUUUCUUUCCAUCCUUCAGAUGUUCAGUACUAUGUACUGAAUGAUAGUUCUCCUGAUGGCCAGCCAUAAUGGGUUUAUAUUACAGUACAUAUUUUAUGUAUUAAAAUCUCUCCUGGAUUAAAAAUGACUAGAAAUUAAACACACAGGAGUAAUCCAGAUGGAAAUUGGAACACAUUUUUGUCAGUACUUUUGAAGAUAUUGAAGAGAAGUUGUGGAGAAAAAGCCUUUAUUUUCACUUCCAUCAUUUCUGCAUCCUAUGUAUAUCCUAUAUAUAUUGGAACCAACUAUCUACAGCUUCUUUGUAUGAGGUCAAUGCUAUUCCUGUAAACAUUAGAUGUUCUGUUGUUAUUUGCAAUUAAUCCAACAACAACUGCUGAAAUUUAGUCACAACUCUCCCGAGCUGAAACAAGUACCUUCCAUAAAGAUGAAAAGGAUUAGACCUAUAUUUUAUAACACAUCCACAUUUUAUGAGGAUGCAGUUGGUGUUAAGCAAUCAUCUAUUUGGUGUUGAAUUAAUUACAAUCUUAAUUAAAAGCUGCUUAAUAUAUAUGAGCCACUUGUAUUUAGCAAUUCUUAUUUUAUUGCAAAAAAAUUCCUGUCAAGAGCUGUAGUAGCAAUCACAUCAACUGACUUUGGACAUUUCUGUUUGUUUUGUUGGUUUUCUUUUGUUGUUGUUUAUUGAGAUUCAAGAGGGACUUUAUCAUGACCCAGAGUCAGAAUCAAACAUGGGAUUUCAGGAAGGUCGGUUGGCUGAGAAAUACCCAGUAAUCAUUUAUAAACCUAUUAGUGUAACAUGAAUGAAAAUGAUGUGGAGUUUGUUCAGAUCUAAUGCAUACAUUUGUAUUAGCACUGAAUGAAUCUACUUUGAAUACAACCUGUCCACUGUAUACACAAGAUAUUCUGGGUUGUUAAAUUACCUCCCAUGUUAAUAGUUUUAUAAUUAAAGUAAAUAUUGUUCAU
ensembl:lncRNA